GACGAACGCUGGCGGCGUGCUUAACACAUGCAAGUCGAACGGUAAGGCCCUUCGGGGUACACGAGUGGCGAACGGGUGAGUAACACGUGGGUGAUCUGCCCUGCACUUCGGGAUAAGCCUGGGAAACUGGGUCUAAUACCGGAUAGGACUCCUGGCUUCAUGGUUGGGGGUGGAAAGCUUUUGCGGUGUGGGAUGGGCUCGCGGCCUAUCAGCUUGUUGGUGGGGUAAUGGCCUACCAAGGCGACGACGGGUAGCCGGCCUGAGAGGGUGACCGGUCACACUGGGACUGAGAUACGGCCCAGACUCCUACGGGAGGCAGCAGUGGGGAAUAUUGCACAAUGGGCGCAAGCCUGAUGCAGCGACGCCGCGUGAGGGAUGACGGCCUUCGGGUUGUAAACCUCUUUCAGCUAUGACGAAGCGCAAGUGACGGUAGUAGCAGAAGAAGGACUGGCCAACUACGUGCCAGCAGCCGCAGUAA
rnacentral:rRNA from 1 species